UACGUAGGGUGCGAGCGUUGUCCGGAAUUAUUGGGCGUAAAGCGCUUGUAGGCGGCAUGUCAAGUCGCGUGUGAAAUCCCCAGGCUUAACCUGGGAAGUGCGCGCGAAACUGACGAGCUUGAGUGCCGGAGAGGGUCGCGGAAUUCCCGGUGUAGAGGUGAAAUUCGUAGAUAUCGGGAGGAACACCAGUGGCGAAGGCGGCGACCUGGACGGACACUGACGCUGAGACGCGAAAGCGUGGGGAGCAAACAGG
rnacentral:rRNA from 1 species